UUUGGACGGUAACAUGCUGGUAUCCACAAGACUGUCUACUGUAUUAGACAUUUACGAUCACGAAUGAAAAGACAGCGUGACCAUCGUUUAAACAAGGAUGGAAGAGGACGUGCUGUCGACCUUUCGAGAGCGCUGGAAACCGGAGUUAGAGACCAAUACAGACAAAAACAAAGAGGGAUAUUUUCGGCAUCCCAGUUAAAGGUAAUCUUGUCCUCUAAGCAGUAGAUUUUGAGAGAAGCAAAAUAACGCAGCACAGCAGACUCAGCCCAUACCAAAAGAGCAGCCGCAGUACGUGUCUAUGGUGGAGGGUUUUGAACUGUAGGACGAAUCGAGCAGGAGAGAACGCGCAGUAAGCGCGCACCCGAGAGCGAGGCGCUUAACACAGGCGCGCUGCCGAGAAGUCAGCACACGCCAUAAACUGCAGGACCUGAAUUAUGUGAAUGACAUCCCAUUCUUUGAUGUGGAGUUGCACAUUAUGUGCUGGCACUGAAGAUUUUCCACAUCCUGAGCAGAACAGAUCUGGGACGGUGUACUCAGGUAGAUGGAGUAUUGGUGGUGCCAGGGAGGUGGGACUUCGUUUUGGUCACAUCAUAGGAAUCUGAGAGUGUGUACCUGCUGAAUUCCAGAAGGAAAAAAGAACAGGAGCCGAAACUUCUUAACUCUGUAUACAGCCAUCCAGUGACCUGUGAAAACGUUACAGCCAGCAGAGCUACCCUGGGUGUCCAAGAGCUGCGGAUGGGGCAUGAAUGAUGUGGCAACACAGGCCUGACUUUGGUCUGUCUCAAACAUCUUGCGUAUGCGUGAGUGUGUAAAACAGGCCAUACGUUUUCAUUUCGGCCUGUUUCACACAGCUUAUGCAGUGCGCUGUUAGAGGCAUCUAGUGGAGCAUUUAAUUUGAGGAUGCACAAAUGUACAAUGUAAAACCUUAACUAAUGUGACAUUAAAAUGUGUUAUCAAUGACUUCAAAAUGGCUCAUUCUAUGAAUAAAAUUCA